GUUCUUGUUGACAAGUGAAAUCUAUAAAGGCAAUGAAAUUAUGGAGUUAAGAAGGUCAAAGAUCACUCAAAACGCUGCAUAGUUACAUGUAUAGAGAGGUCCAGUGCUAGCUGAAUCAUUAUUUAUCACUUCAUCCCAAGUCAUCCUAUUUCUCAUCAUCUUCACUUAUGUCACAUGGAAAUAAAUUUACUAUUGCAAAUAAAUUAGUUGAGGCUAAUGAAAACCACAAUAAAAUCUCAAGUGAAGAUAUGAAUAUAGAGGAAAAAUUAAAGCUGAACUUCUAAACAAAAUCAAAUUUCCAUUCACUUGUACAAGGAACAUUUGCAUAGAAAAAAAUAAAUUAUCAAUAAACGAUACCUGUGAUCACCAAGUUUGGCCCGC
rnacentral:misc_RNA from 1 species